rnacentral:rRNA from 1 species
UACGUAGGGUGCAAGCGUUGUCCGGAAUUAUUGGGCGUAAGAGCUCGUAGGCGGUUCGGCAAGUCGAAUGUGAAACUCUCCACGCUCAACGUGGAGGGUCAUUCGAUACUGCCGUGACUUGAGUACGGUAGGGGAGUGUGGAAUUCCCGGUGUAGCGGUGAAAUGCGCAGAGAUCGGGAGGAACACCCGUAGCGAAGGCGGCACUCUGGGCCGAUACUGACGCCUGAGGAGCGAAAGCGUGGGGAGCGAACAGG